UGAGGAAUAUUGCACAAUGGGCGCAAGCCUGAUGCAGCAACGCCGCGUGAGGGACGAAGGCCUUCGGGUCGUAAACCUCUUUUCUGGGGGACGAGUAAGGACGGUACCUCAGGAAUAAGUCUCGGCUAACUACGUGCCAGCAGCCGCGGUAAAACGUAGGAGGCGAGCGUUAUCCGGAUUUACUGGGCGUAAAGCGUACGGCAGGUGGCUUCGUGAGUCGGACAUGAAAGCUCCUGGCUUAACUGGGAGAGGUUGUUCGAUACGUGCGGGGCUUGAGGUUGGGAGAGGGACGUGGAAUUCCCGGUGUAGUGGUGGAAUGCGUAGAUAGUCGGGAGGAACACCGAGUGGCGCGAAGCGGCGUCCGUGGCCCACACCGUGACGCUGGAGUACGAAAGCGUGG
rnacentral:rRNA from 1 species